UAAAGGAGAGGUCGGACAUAAACACAAAUAGCCUUAAUUUUUGUUAGUCUUUUACACGUCUUCAAACAAAGCACUUCUAGCAGCCACAUUGCAGAAACUUCAAAGCCUUCCAUGGUCCUACUGUUUGGACCGUCCGAGUGAUAGACCUGGCCGAAGACUGUUUAGAAUCAAGUGUUUGUGUAUAUGAGGGUAGCUGUAGUCUCCAAUGACUGAUUGGACAAACAGACACACAUAAGACACGCGUUUGCUGUUGCAAUCGGAGAGAGGUCACACUUAUAUCGAGUAUUGAAGGUGCAAAGCUGCCUGUGACCUUUGACCUGUAAUGAAAGCUGUAGAUUGCCUCCUCAUCAGCGCCCUUUCGUGCCUCCUCCUCACACCGUCUACAGGAUUCACUACAGGCCUGCUCGACAUGAUGCAUCCGCAACAAAAGAGGUCGUCUUUCCUGAACCUAGCGUUCUACCAGAUAUAUGAUCUUUGUGAUUCGGACCGAAAUGGCCACUUCACGGCGAAUGAAUUCAAGUGUGUCGACGACCUUGUCCACAUCUACUUCGGCAGAAGGUGACGCGACUUCCAACCACCAGCCACACACCACACGGCUUAGGACCAGAAUGGUCCUCGGGGUGCGUCAAGGGAUGACACGAUGCUACCGUUAUUUUAGCUAUGGCUCUACAUCAUUUUCUGUACUUCCGUCAUGAAUAAAACGUCCCAAUCCUU